GACGUAGGGCGCGAGCGUUGUCCGGAUUUAUUGGGCGUAAAGAGCUCGUAGGCGGCUUGUCGCGUCGUUCGUGAAAACCUGUGGCUCAACUACAGGCUUGCGGUCGAUACGGGCAGGCUGGAGUUCGGUAGGGGAGACUGGAAUUCCUGGUGUAGCGGUGAAAUGCGCAGAUAUCAGGAGGAACACCGGUGGCGAAGGCGGGUCUCUGGGCCGAUACUGACGCUGAGGAGCGAAAGCGUGGGGAGUGAACAGG
rnacentral:rRNA from 1 species